AAAAGAUGAGUGAGUACAAAGAUGUUUUAAUACAUAAGUGUUGACUUAGAGUACAAAAGACAUGGAUAGAAACUAUCCAAAAGUCGAACAGUCAACAUUGCAUUACAUGGCCUACAAGAUAGAUCCUAGACAAAAACUAAAGAAAAGACUGACUACACUGGAUCUAGUAGAUAUUAUGACUGGAUGGAUCAGAGUCUAAUGAAUCAAAGAUGGGGUGAGGAGAUGAAGGAUCACGACCAUGGGCUUGACCUCGACCGCGUCUACCUCUGCCAUGGGUAGAGGUGCCAGCACGAGUGGAGGGGUGAGAGGAUCCUGAAGGCUGAGAAGCAAAGGACUAUGCUACAAGUGAUAGUCUGA
rnacentral:lncRNA from 1 species